GAUGAACGCUGGCGGCGUGCUUAACACAUGCAAGUCGAACGAUGAAGCCCAGCUUGCUGGGUGGAUUAGUGGCGAACGGGUGAGUAACACGUGAGUAACCUGCCCUUAGCUCUGGGAUAAGCCUGGGAAACUGGGUCUAAUACCGGAUAGGAGCGUCCACCGCAUGGUGGGUGUUGGAAAGAUUUAUCGGUUUUGGAUGGACUCGCGGCCUAUCAGCUUGUUGGUGAGGUAAUGGCUCACCAAGGCGACGACGGGUAGCCGGCCUGAGAGGGUGACCGGCCACACUGGGACUGAGACACGGCCCAGACUCCUACGGGAGGCAGCAGUGGGGAAUAUUGCACAAUGGGCGCAAGCCUGAUGCAGCGACGCCGCGUGAGGGAUGACGGCCUUCGGGUUGUAAACCUCUUUCAGUAGGGAAGAAGCGAAAGUGACGGUACCUGCAGAAGAAGCACCGGCUAACUACGAG
rnacentral:rRNA from 1 species